rnacentral:tRNA from 1 species
GCGGACGUGACGGAACCGGUAGACGUCGGGGACUUAAAAUCCUCUGGGCUUUGCCCGUGCGGGUUCGAGUCCCGCCGUCCGCA